UGGCUCUCGCACCGAUGAAGAACGCAGCGAAAUGCGAUAAGUAAUGUGAAUUGCAGAAUUCAGUGAAUCAUCGAAUCUUUGAACGCACCUUGCACUCCUUGGUAUUCCGAGGAGUAUGCCUGUUUGAGUGUCAUUAAAUUCUCAAACCUUUUUCCUUCUUGGAAAAGAUGGUUUGGAUCUUGAGAGUUUGCAGGUUUUUGUCAAAAUCAGCUCUCUUUAAAUUUAUUAGCAGAUUUGGCCUUUUGUUCCACAUUCUCAAUUGAUGUGAUAGGUUAUCCACAUCUCUAGAGAUUGAAAUUAUCUGCUUAUAACUGUCUCUUUUUAGGGGACACUUUGACAAUUUGACCUCAAAUCAGGUAGGACUACCCGCUGA
rnacentral:misc_RNA from 1 species